AUACGGAGGAUCCGAGCGUUAUCCGGAUUUAUUGGGUUUAAAGGGAGCGUAGGUGGACAGUUAAGUCAGUUGUGAAAGUUUGCGGCUCAACCGUAAAAUUGCAGUUGAUACUGGCUGUCUUGAGUACAGUAGAGGUGGGCGGAAUUCGUGGUGUAGCGGUGAAAUGCUUAGAUAUCACGAAGAACUCCGAUUGCGAAGGCAGCUCACUGGACUGCAACUGACACUGAUGCUCGAAAGUGUGGGUAUCAAACAGGAUUAGAUACCCUGGUAGUCCACACAGUAAACGAUGAAUACUCGCUGUUUGCGAUAUACAGUAAGCGGCCAAGCGAAAGCAUUAAGUAUUCCGCCUGGGGAGUACGCCGGCAACGGUGAAACUCAAAUGAAUUGACGGGG
rnacentral:rRNA from 1 species